rnacentral:lncRNA from 1 species
GAUGAGCACGAACCCUUGAAGUGUUGUGGACAGUCUCUACAGCUUUUCUUAUCUCUAGAAGAUCAAUCAAAUCUUUGAGCACACUCUUGUCUUCUUUCACAACUGACAACUUAACAGCAGCAACAGCACGAAUGAUUCUUUUGGAAGAGAAUUUUCCAAUUUCUGUAAGUGGUAUAGCAGUGGCCUCAGAGUCUUUCUUCUUUUUGAAUAUCACAGAAGUAGGAUUGUAAGUGACAACAGGAGCUUUU